GACGAACGCUGGCGGCGUGCUUAACACAUGCAAGUCGAACGGAAAGGCCUGCUUUCCCUUGUGGAUUGCGGGUACUCGAGUGGCGAACGGGUGAGUAACACGUGAGUGAUCUGCCCCCAACUUGGGUAUAAGCCUGGGAAACUGGGUCUAAUUCCCGAUAGGACUGCAGGGUGGUGCCUGUGGUGGAACACGAUUUUCUAGUGGUUGGGGAUGAGCUCGCGGCCUAUCAGCUUGUUGGUGGGGUAAUGGCCUACCAAGGCGGCGACGGGUAGCCGGCCUGAGAGGGUGGACGGCCACAUUGGGACUGAGAUACGGCCCAGACUCCUACGGGAGGCAGCAGUGGGGAAUAUUGCACAAUGGGCGGAAGCCUGAUGCAGCGACGCCGCGUGGGGGAUGACGACCUUCGGGUGGUAAACUCCUUUCGACCGCGAGGAAGCCACCUGGUUGGAAGGGUGGUGACGGUAGUGGUAGAAGAAGCACCGGCUAACUACGUG
rnacentral:rRNA from 1 species